rnacentral:rRNA from 1 species
UACGUAGGGUGCAAGCGUUAAUCGGAAUUACUGGGCGUAAAGCGUGCGCAGGCGGUUAUGUAAGACAGAUGUGAAAUGCCCGGGCUCAACCUGGGAACUGCAUCUGUGACUGCAUCGCUGGAGUACGGUAGAGGGGGAUGGAAUUCUGCGUGUAGCAGUGAAAUGCGUAGAUAUGCGGAGGAACACCGAUGGCGAAGGCAAUCCCCUGGACCUGUACUGACGCUCAUGCACGAAAGCGUGGGGAGCAAACAGG